AGAGUUUGAUCAUGGCUCAGAUUGAACGCUGGCGGCAGGCCUAACACAUGCAAGUCGAGCGGUAACAGGAAUUAGCUUGCUAAUUUGCUGACGAGCGGCGGACGGGUGAGUAAUGCCUGGGAAUAUGCCUUAGUGUGGGGGAUAACUAUUGGAAACGAUAGCUAAUACCGCAUAACGUCUUCGGACCAAAGAGGGGGACCUUCGGGCCUCUCGCGCUAAGAUUAGCCCAGGUGGGAUUAGCUAGUUGGUGAGGUAAAGGCUCACCAAGGCAACGAUCCCUAGCUGGUCUGAGAGGAUGAUCAGCCACACUGGAACUGAGACACGGUCCAGACUCCUACGGGAGGCAGCAGUGGGGAAUAUUGCACAAUGGGGGAAACCCUGAUGCAGCCAUGCCGCGUGUAUGAAGAAGGCCUUCGGGUUGUAAAGUACUUUCAGUCGUGAGGAAGGGUAUGUAGUUAAUAGCUGCAUAUCUUGACGUUAGCGACAGAAGAAGCACCGGCUAACUCCGUGCCAGCAGCCGCGGUAAUACGGAGGGUGCGAGCGUUAAUCGGAAUUACUGGGCGUAAAGCGCAUGCAGGCGGUCUGUUAAGCAAGAUGUGAAAGCCCGGGGCUCAACCUCGGAACCGCAUUUUGAACUGGCAGACUAGAGUCUUGUAGAGGGGGGUAGAAUUUCAGGUGUAGCGGUGAAAUGCGUAGAGAUCUGAAGGAAUACCGGUGGCGAAGGCGGCCCCCUGGACAAAGACUGACGCUCAGAUGCGAAAGCGUGGGGAGCAAACAGGAUUAGAUACCCUGGUAGUCCACGCCGUAAACGAUGUCUACUUGAAAGGUUGUGGCCUUGAGCCGUGGCUUUCGGAGCUAACGCGUUAAGUAGACCGCCUGGGGAGUACGGUCGCAAGAUUAAAACUCAAAUGAAUUGACGG
rnacentral:rRNA from 1 species